UACGUAGGCAGCGAGCGUUGUUCGGAGUUACUGGGCGUAAAGCGUGCGUAGGCGGUGUCUUAAGUUUGUUGUGAAAUCUCCCGGCCUAACCGGGAGGGUGCGGCGAAUACUGAGAUGCUGGAGUGCGGGAGAGGUAAGCGGAAUUCCUGGUGUAGCGGUGAAAUGCGUAGAUAUCAGGAGGAACACCUGCGGUGUAGACGGCUUACUGGACCGUAACUGACGCUGAGGCACGAAAGCGUGGGUAGCAAACAGG
rnacentral:rRNA from 1 species